GUGGCUGCGCUUGCGAGGACCCUGAGGUAGGUUGGGUGGUUUCAGCAGGAACGCAUCCACUGUCUGAGUUUAAACUUGGUUUUGUGGGGGGACGAACAGCGUGACAAUUAAAGAAGAUGUAGGAAUCAAAAGCUUCCUGAGGCCUACAACCAGAAGCAGAUGCUGGUGCCAUGCUUCUACAGCCUGCAGAACUAAGAGAAGACAUGGAGAAGAGGAGGGGAUAGUUGUGACUGUGGAGGCAGAGAAUGGAGUAAUGUGAUCAUAAAUCAAGGAAUGCUGACAGCCACUAAAGCUGGAGAAGGCCAAGGACAGAUUUCCAAUCCUCCCGCAGAAGUACAGCCCUGCUAAUGCAUUGAUUUUGGACUUCUGGCCUCAGAACUGUCUGGAAAGCAUGGAAAUUUGUAUCUUCGUUCACUUUUGUUUUCAUGGACUCUUUUCAUGUUUGAACUUUUCAUGGUAUGAGGUGUCUUAUAAUCUAUAAUAUGGAAUGUUUCUCAUAUGAAUGUUUUUCUUAUUGAAGAAUGCCAUAGAAAUAAGGGUGUGAGGUAUACUUACUUGACAGGGGAAU
rnacentral:antisense_RNA from 1 species